rnacentral:tRNA from 1 species
GGCUCGCUCACAAACCGGUACAUUCCGGUUAAAUCCAACUGCCCUAGAAACGACGCAGGGGACUCAAAAUCCCCCGCCGCAAGGCGUGCCGGUUCGAUUCCGGCCCUGGGCACCA